AUAUAUAUCACUAUAACUUUGCUUCUUUCUUGACUUUUCAAGAUCUUGGCAUAGAUAACUUCUCCAAAAGCUUUAAAACUCCUUUUUUGCAAAACUCUUGGGAUCGGGCUCUUGUAAAUAUUUUAUUUUUUAAAAUCCCUCAAGCUCAUCAAAAUUUCCAAAGCUUUGUUGUACCCACCUUCGAUCUAGCACCUAUGUGGCCAAAACCCAAGGAGGAUGGUGAGAUGGUGGUUGCAAAAUGAAAGAGAUAAGAGCGACAACAUUCCACCACCAUAAUCAAAGAAGCAUAAAGAUGCUCGUUGUAGGAUCUAGAUGGUCAAAGCGUUGUUGCCGAAGAAGAGAGAGAUAAACCAUUGGCGACGGGCAAGGUUGUUUUGUUGACAACGUUUAAUGGGGCUUGCGGCAGCUCAUCGCCCAUGGCCGCAGGACCAUCUGUACCAAUUUCGGCUAAGCAGUAUUGUUGGUGAAGAGGAAGGAACCUUUGUCACUAAGGAGCGAGGUUUUUGUUGUAAGAGAUUGAUGUCAAAUGCGGCGGCAAGAUGUUGAAUUUGUUUUUUGUGCAAGCUCGAUGAAGUCGGAUGCGACGCUCACCUUGGUUGGCUCUUCCUUAGGAGAUCACAGAAAUACCGAGAGGUUCCGACCCAUAAGGUUGAGUAGUCAUAAUUGAAGCUGAAUUUCAUAUUGAAGUUGGCUCCUUAUUGAUUCUGAUAGUCAUAAGGUAUGGAAAUCAGUUUGUAGUGCAGCUGUGCUUGAUUUCAAGUUGGCCAUCGUGUUGGAAGUAGAAUGAGUGGAUAACUGAUUGUAAUUUUGACUUGGGUCCAUAGGAGAGAAUGAUGAUGAAUGAGAGGCCAUCUUAAACCUCUAUACAAAUUGGACCACAUUGGGGGUGCUUUAAUAUUUCAGUUUCUUUAGUAUUGGACAAUUUGGUGAGAUGUGUUUGCCAAGAUUAGUUUCAAUGAAGCCAUUGCCAUGAGCGAUACUGCUGGCUGCCUUAGGACAGCUUACUUGAGAUGGAAUGAAGUGAAGAAUCCUUUGGCGAUGUAGUAUAGAGGUGUGAUAUAGUUGCUGUAUGUGCUGCCAGCGCCCAGUAUUAUGUCCUUGUGGUGAAUGCAAGCAAAGUUAGGGUCACAAUUUGUUGCUUUAUGCUUGCUGCAAUGGUGAAGAAAGUGUUGGCGAAGCUGAGAUUAGUGUUUACAUAUAGUGUGCACCUUUUUUUAUCAUGGUAUUGCCCAUCCAUAAUAGCUUUUGUGUCUUGGGCCUUGAUAAGGCAAAAUAGACCAUGAUAGCAUGAGAAGAUGCUUUGUAAGAUGGUCACUGUGUGCAUCAAAAGGAAUGGACAGUGCAACUUAUUAUCAAAUGAGAUGCUCCUCGACGAUGUGUGGCUAUAAGAGAUGUUGUUCAAUGAAACAUUGUUGCGUCGAGUUGCUUUCGCUUUUGGCGAUAUCGCAGCCACUAUUCUUGUUAUAUCAUUGUAACAUAUUGAAUAUGGUACAUAGGCAGCUGCUCUGUUUGUUUGAGAGCGAAGCCACAACUUAUUUGGCAAGUCAAAACUUGAUGUGACAAGUCAAAACCUGAUGCCACCCCUUCUUGUCAUACCAAUAGGAGUUGCUAAGUGUGCCACUUUGCCGUUUUGCAUGGAAUAAGUAUACUUUAGGAGACUACACCAUUAUUGAGCAAGGACUUGUAACUCACUUGAAUGAUUUUGGCUUAGGCAAUUGCAGUGCCAUCGUUAGGACCUUCAUUCACAAUGCCAAUUUCAUUGCCAAUGCACCAUUUUCGAAGGUUAAAGCUGCUUCAGGUAGCAACAUAGAGCUGCAAUAGAUAGUACCAUGGCCACCGUUAGGUAACUUUGAACUCUUUUUGUUUUGUUUCUUGUUGGUGUUGGACAUUUGAUGAACUUGUUGUCUUGCUGUCUAUGCGUAAGGCCAACAAGUUGCUUUAAGUUUCAAUGUUAAGAAACAACAUCAUUAGUUGUUGUAAAAUUGAGUUCCUGAGUUGAAAUUGAGUUUCUUUUGUCUAGUCUUUUCACUCCUAGCUCACCUCAAGAGGAUUGCACAGCUUCUUUGGUUGAGCUUGGUGAGGAAAACAUCAACAAACAUGUGGCUUCCUUUUUUAAUGGCUAGAGAGUGCUUGUGGUAAUGAAAAUGCAUAAGACUUGGUUUGUUCCUUUGGCUGAGGAGAGACUAUUCAAAUGAAAGAGUGUUGCCAAGAACUUGAUUGAGGAUAGGCCGAUUGUAGAGUUUCUUCUCUACUACCUCUAUUGCAUCGUCGAUACAUGGUUCAGGUGAGGCUUGGAAGUUCAACUUGCAUCUCUUGUCAACUGGAUUUUUGUGAAGAGAUGGAAACUGGUGGCCAUAAAUUCAUAGAGAAAUCAAUUGCAAGCGAGUGUUCUGAACAUAAUGGCUUCAGAUAUUGUUGCUAAUCUUGAUCUCCUUCGAGUUGCCCUUUCUUUUCAUUUUGUUUAUUUCUUGAAUUUGCUAAAACCUUGAGAACUUGAGUUGGUUAUAACAUGUAAUGGGGGCUACUACCUUGGAAACACAUUCUCUUAUAUUUCCCUUUUGUGGGCAACUCACUUUUGUGUAUAGAGCAACUCCUAUGUACUAGUAUUUGUUGUAAGUUCGAGCUUUGCUUCCUCA